AACAAGGCGUACCUGCGGACCUGCGGAAGGAUCAUUACACAAUACAAUAUGAAGGCUGUCCGCAGCUGGAGUAUUUUAUUACCCUUGUCUUUUGCGCACUUGUUGUUUCCUGGGCGGGUUCGCUCGCCACCAGGACCACCAAAUAAACCUUUUUUAUGCAGUUGCAAUCAGCGUCAGUACAAACAAUGUAAAUCAUUUACAACUUUCAGCAACGGAUCU
rnacentral:misc_RNA from 1 species